rnacentral:rRNA from 1 species
GACGAACGCUGGCGGCGUGCUUAACACAUGCAAGUCGAACGAAGUGGCGAACGGGUGAGUAACGCGUAAUCAACAUGCCCUUCAGAGGGGGACAACAGUUGGAAAAGACUGCUAAUAACGCAUACUGAAGGAGGGGAUUGCGGCUGAUGAGCUAUUUGGAGGGGUAACGGCCCACCAAGGCGAUGAUCAGUAGCCGGUCGGAGAGUAUGACCGGCCACCGUGGGACUGGGACACGGCCCAGACUCCUACGGGAGGCAGCAGUGGGGAAUCUUCCGCAAUGGACGAAAGUCUGACGGAGCAACGCCGCGUGAGUGAUGACGGCCUUCGGGUUGUAAAGCUCUGUUAAUCGGGACGCGGUACCGGAAUAGAAAGCCACGGCUAACUACGUGCCAGCAGCCGCGGUAAUUC